rfam:Pelodiscus sinensis unplaced genomic scaffold scaffold1086, whole genome shotgun sequence.
UCAAUGGUUUUUUUUAAAGCCACAUUAAAGACAUAAACAAACCGAGU